ACCCGCUGAACUUAAGCAUAUCAAUAAGCGGAGGAAAAGAAACCAACAGGGAUUGCCCUAGUAACGGCGAGUGAAGCGGCAACAGCUCAAAUUUGAAAUCUGGCGCAAGCCCGAGUUGUAAUUUGUAGAGGAUGCUUCUAGGUAGCGACCGGUCUAAGUUCCUUGGAACAGGGCGUCAUAGAGGGUGAGAAUCCCGUAUGUGACCGGCCCGCACCUUCUACGUAGCUCCUUCGACGAGUCGAGUUGUUUGGGAAUGCAGCUCUAAAUGGGAGGUAAAUUUCUUCUAAAGCUAAAUACCGGCCAGAGACCGAUAGCGCACAAGUAGAGUGAUCGAAAGAUGAAAAGCACUUUGGAAAGAGAGUUAAAAAGCACGUGAAAUUGUUGAAAGGGAAGCGCUCACAACCAGACUUCUGUUCAGUGUUCCUCCGGUCUUUUGACCGGUCUACUCACUGUUCCGAGGCCAACAUCAUCUGGGACCGCUGGAUAAGACCUUAGGAAUGUAGCUCCCCUCGGGGAGUGUUAUAGCCUGUGGUGAUGCAGCGAGUCUCGGGUGAGGUCCGCGCUUCGGCAAGGAUGUUGGCGUAAUGGUUGUCAGCGGCCCGUCUUGAAACACGG
rnacentral:rRNA from 1 species